GAGUUGGGGAGCAGGGCCCAGGCUGAGGGAGGCCAAAGGGCCCAGACAAGCAGUAGGGCUACAUUUUCCCAAAGGGAGGCUGCAGGGACAAAAACCAGGUCCAGUUCCCUGGGCCUGGUGACAAUCCUGGAAAAAGGGUCAGGAAAAGGGGACUGGCAGGGACAGGGACAACAGGAGGGCCAAAGAAAGGCACAGCGUGAAGGGCCGGAGGACCAGUGUUGGUGGGGAAGCAACCAGGACCCCAGAAAGAAACCCAGGCUAGGGACCUAGAGCAGGGUCCAGGCCAGGAGAGAGCAGGGAAGGGCAGGGCCAGGAAGGAGGAUGACACUAGGGUUCUGCAGUGCAGGGAAGCCAAGGGGAACAGGGAAGCAGCUCAAGCAAGGGGCCCGCAGUCCAAGCCCAGGGACGCACAGAGCAAGAAGGUCCACCAGAUGGUGAAGCGAAGAGCCAGGCCAGGGAAUGGAGAGCUAAGGACCAAGGCUGGGGCAGGGGGCUCAGGACAGUGGACAGGGCUGGGGAGGGAAGGCUGUGGAUCCAGUAGGGGGCAGGCUAGGCUCGAAUCCUAGUGCCACUGCCAGGUGUUAUGGUUCUGGGUGCAGGACCAAGGGCCCAGGGAGAGCAAGGGGCCCACCUGAGGGGCAGACCUCUGUUUCCCACUAGAUGCCCUGGCUCAGAUGAGAAUCAAGGGCCA
rnacentral:lncRNA from 1 species